rnacentral:misc_RNA from 1 species
UUACCGCGGAACUCCACAGGCAAACAGCGAUGGCCUACCAUCUGUCAUUUUGACAGAUUAUUGCCAGCAAUAUGAUUGCAAGAUUUUGUGUGUGGGCACUUUGAUAUCUUAACAUAUCAUUUUUAAAAUGGCGCCAACAAAGCAUGUUCGAUGUAUUGAAGCUCUUAAGCAUUUGGAAAUGCUAAAACAACUUUAUAAAGAGGAGGAAAAAAGAAAAAAGCCGCGGUUUUGGGUGAACCCAUUUUUAAUGCAGAGGGAACUUCACGACUUGGAAGCAAACCUUUUAAAAAACAUUUUAUGGGAAGAUGGUACCGACUUCAACAACUUUUGCAGGAUGUCCAUUGACCAAUUCAAUGAGGUUCAUUCACUGGUGGAUACUAAAAUUAAAAAAGUGAUACAAGGAUGAGAUGUGCCUUUACAACAAGAGUUCGCCUAGCUAUAACUUUGCGCUACUUAGCGACUGGCGAUUCGUUUCGUUCUUUGGAAUUUCUAUCACACAUAUCACGAAGAACAAUAAGCAAAUUUUUGCCAGAAGUUUUGGAAGCAUUGACUGAAGCACUUCAGGAGGAAUAUUUAAAGUUCCCGCACACUUUAGGAGCAAUUGACGGAAAGCACAUUCGGUUAAAAGCGCCUCCAAAUUCUCGUUCCGACUAUUUCAACUAUAAAGGCUAUUUUAGCGUGGUUUUGCUUGCUGUUGUCGAUGCUCACAGUCGUUUUAUUUAUGUGGAUAUUGGAGCAAACGGCAGGGCAUCUGAUGUUAUGAUAAUCCUUUAUGUGGCCAAGUUUGCAAAACACCCUAUUAUUUUAUCGGCGAUGACAUUUUUGGGUUAAGUCGGCACUUGAUGAAAGCCUAUAACCGAAGUUCAAACCUUACCACGUCGCAGGAGGCGUAUAAUUAUAGACUAAGCAGAGCACGACUGACUGUGGAAAUGGCUUUUGGCAGGCUGGCUGCGCGUUUUCGUGUCUUUCACAGGCCAAUAGAAGUUUCUUUAGAAACAUGUGAUGCUCUUAUAAAAGUUUGCUGCGUUUUACACAAUUACCUGACACGAAAACUGAUUCAGCCUCGAGAGUCCUCAGGAUGAUUGCUCUGCUCAAAGCCUUCCACAGACAAUUUCCAGUUUACCAGUACAAGAACAUGACACAUACAAAUACUCCACACACACAAAUACAAAAUUCGAGAUAACAUAUGCAAAUAUUGUGUAACCGACGGGGAUGUUUCAUAUUAGUGGAUAAAAAUAAAAAAACAAGUCGCAAAGUAAAAAGUAAAAAUUGCUUGUUCAGAAAGUAAAAACGUUAUUUUUAAUUUCAUAUUAGGAAAGUGGUUUCCGGUAUUGGUACUGGUAUUUUUAGAUCAGAAUUUUUUAGAAAAAUUUCGGGUAUGCAGUUUUGUAGCCCAUUCUAAUAAAGUACAAGUUUCAAUUAGCAAAAAUUAUGCGUUACCAAUACCGGAAACCACUUUCCUAAUAUGAAAUUAAAAAUAACGUUUUUACCUUCUGAACAAAUAAUUUUUAUGCAAAAAACAAAACCGACUUAAAUUCUCAUUCAAAAAUUUAAUAGUACCGUUAAUUUUUUCAUGACCGCUAUAUACAAUUGCACCAAAAUUAGAGAUAUUCUUGUUGGUCUUUCCUAUUAACCACACAAAAAAAAACAUUUAACCACAAUAAGCAAUCACUUCGCCUUCAAAAUCUCAAUCUAAUAGGUUUGUUUUCAAAUUUUUUAAACAUUUUAUUUUCAUACAUUUUCAUCAAAAAGUAACGAUAAAUAAAAACUUAACUUUAACGAAUAGAAAAGUGAAUUGUAAGUGGGGUACAUGUGUUAAAUGUAAUGCAAAUAUGUAUGCAUAUAUUAACUAAAAUAAAGUUUUCUUAAAUGCUAUUUUAUAAUUACACUGGGUGACAGUGUAAAUUAACAUGGAUCGUAACAUACACCCCCGACAAACGAUAGUACAUCAUUUAUAAUUUUUGUACAAAGUCUGAAAAUUAGAUUUAAAUGGUAUUUGUUAGAUAAAGAGCUAUACUUUUAUAGAAAAAUAAUGAACCUUAAAUAAUCAAAAGAAAAGUAGUCAAAACGUGUAAAAAUGGUGAUGUGCUAUAUUUUGUCGCGGGGUGUAGGAUCUACUCAAGUAAUAAACAACUGUAA